ACCCGAGCGGCCAAUGGGAGCGGACUGUAAAUCCGUCGGCGUAUGCCUUCCAAGGUUCGAAUCCUUGACCCGCCA
rnacentral:tRNA from 1 species